rnacentral:snRNA from 1 species
GUGCUUGCCUCGGCAGCACACAUACUAAAAUUGGAACUAUACAGAGGCAAUUAGCAUGGCCCCUGAGCAAGGAUGACACGCAAAUUCAUGAAGUGUUCCAUAUAAAA